rnacentral:rRNA from 1 species
UGACGUCAAGUCCUCAUGGCCCUUAUGGGUAGGGCUUCACACGUCAUACAAUGGUCGGUACAGAGGGUUGCCGAAGCCGCGAGGUGGAGCCAAUCCCUUAAAGCCGAUCGUAGUCCGGAUCGUAGUCUGCAACUCGACUACGUGAAGUCGGAAUCGCUAGUAAUCGCAGAUCAGCAUGCUGCGGUGAAUACGUUCCCGGGUCUU